rnacentral:rRNA from 1 species
GAUGAACGCUAGCGGCAGGCCUAAUACAUGCAAGACGAACGGUAAGUUGAGUAGCAAUACUUAGCCAAGAGUGUCGUACGGGUGCGUAACACGUAUGCAACCUACCCUAUACAGGAGGAUAGCCUAGGGAAACCUGGAUUAACCCUUCAUAGUAUUAUUGGAUGGCAUCAUUUGAUAAUUAAAACUGAGGUGGUAUAGGAUGGGCAUGCGUCUGAUUAGUUAGUUGGCGGGGUAAUGGCCCACCAAGACGAUGAUCAGUAGGGGUUCUGAGAGGAAGAUCCCCCACACUGGCACUGAGAUGCGGGCCAGACUCCUACGGGAGGCAGCAGUAGGGAAUAUUGGUCAAUGGAUGCAAGUCUGAACCAGCCAUGCCGCGUGCAGGAAGAAGGCCUUCUGGGGUUGUAAACUGCUUUUGCCAGGGGAUAAAUUUCCAUGCGUGGAAACUGAAGGUACCUGGUGAAUAAGCCACGGCUAACUACGUGCCAGCAGCCGCGGUAA